CCUACUGGUGGCUGCAGUAGGGAAUAUUGGUCAAUGGGUGAGAGCCUGAACCAGCCAUGCCGCGUGCAGGAAGACGGCCUUCUGGGUUGUAAACUGCUUUUAUCUGGGGAUAAACAGGCCUUGCGCGGCACAUUGAAGGUACCAGAUGAAUAAGCACCGGCUAACUACGUGCCAGCAGCCGCGGUAAUACGUAGGGUGCAAGCGUUGAUCGGAUUUAAUGGGUUUAAAGGCGGUCUAUGCGGUCAGUGGUGAAAUCCAACAGCUCAACUGUUGAUGUGCCAAUGAUACUGAUGGACUUGAGUACAGACGAGGUAGGCGGAAUUGACAGUGUAGCGGUGAAAUGCAUAGAUAUUGUCAAGAACACCGAUAGCGAAGGCAGCUUGCUAGCCUGUAACUGACGCUGAGGCACGAAAGUAUGGGGAUCAAACAGGAUUAGAUACCCCAGUAGUC
rnacentral:rRNA from 1 species